rnacentral:misc_RNA from 1 species
GAAAUGCGAUAAGUAAUGUGAAUUGCAGAAUUCCGUGAAUCAUCGAAUCUUUGAACGCACAUUGCGCCCCUUGGUAUUCCAUGGGGCAUGCCUGUUCGAGCGUCAUUUGUACCUUCAAGCUUUGCUUGGUGUUGGGUGUUUGUCUCGCCUCUGCGCGCAGACUCGCCUCAAAACAAUUGGCAGCCGGCGUAUUGAUUUCGGAGCGCAGUACAUCUCGCGCUUUGCACUCAUAACGACGACGUCCAAAAAGUACAUUUUUUACACUCUUGACCUCGGAUCAGGUAGGGAUACCCGCUGAACUUAAGC